CGGCGGGCUGGAGGAGGUCGCCCGCUCGCUCGGCCGCGGCCCGGGCCAGGUCCUGUUGUCGGUCACGUUGCGUCGGGUCCGCCCGACCGCGGCGGCC
rnacentral:tRNA from 1 species